AGUAGGGAUCUUCGGCAAUGGGGGCAACCCUGACCGAGCAACGCCGCGUGAGUGAAGAAGGUUUUCGGAUCGUAAAGCUCUGUUGUAAGUCAAGAACGAGUGUGAGAGUGGAAAGUUCACACUGUGACGGUAGCUUACCAGAAAGGGACGGCUAACUACGUGCCAGCAGCCGCGGUAAUACGUAGGUCCCGAGCGUUGUCCGGAUUUAUUGGGCGUAAAGCGAGCGCAGGCGGUUUGAUAAGUCUGAAGUUAAAGGCUGUGGCUCAACCAUAGUUCGCUUUGGAAACUGUCAAACUUGAGUGCAGAAGGGGAGAGUGGAAUUCCAUGUGUAGCGGUGAAAUGCGUAGAUAUAUGGAGGAACACCGGUGGCGAAAGCGGCUCUCUGGUCUGUAACUGACGCUGAGGCUCGAAAGCGUGGGGAGCGAACAGGAUUAGAUACCCUGGUAGUCCACGCCGUAAACGAUGAGUGCUAGGUGUUGGAUCCUUUCCGGGAUUCAGUGCCGCAGCUAACGCAUUAAGCACUCCGCCUGGGGAGUACGACCGCAAGGUUGAAACUCAAAGGAAUUGACGGGGCCC
rnacentral:rRNA from 1 species